rnacentral:rRNA from 1 species
GAGAUUAUCAGGGCGGAAUGUGCAUCCAAAGCCGUUGUAAGCCAACAACGGUGUCCGACCUGGAAGCGAGAGCGGAAGGGUGGGCGAAGACCGGCCAGGUCCCGAAAGGACUCUGGCUGCAACAUGGCAAACUCGAUUUGAAUAUCGUGUUACGCUCGAAAAGGGUGUAAUACAACGAGUUCAAUUGAAGAGUUUGAUCAUGGCUCAGAAUGAACGCUGGCGGCAUGGCUAAAAACAUGCAAGUCGAACGAACCCGCAAGGGUGAGUGGCGAAAGGGUCAGUAAUACGAUCGAAUGUACCCUGAGGUGGCGGAUAGCGGUGGGAAACUGCCGGUAAUACGUCAUGAUCUCUACGGAGCAAAGGUUUACCGCCUUGGGAGCAGCGAUCGUCCUAUCAGGUAGUUGGCGGGGUAAAGGCCCACCAAGCCGAAGACGGGUAGCGGGUGUGAGAGCACGACCCGCGACAUCGGAACUGAGACACUGUCCGGACUCCUACGGGAGGCUGCAGUAACGAAUCUUCCGCAAUGG